AAGAAGUCUUGGAGAAGAGAAAGAGAAGAAAAUUACCAUAAAAAGUUGGACAUGAGAGCGUAGAAGUCUAUUAAGACAGAGCGUGGAAGUGACAUUAGAGGUGCUGUUAACACUGGGAGUAGUGCUUUCUCUCACUGAGGCGCUGACGGCAAGUGUCUGAGGUAGCAGUCUCUGAAGUAUUAGUGCAUGACUGAAGAAACUUUAUGAUAGGAAAAGAUUCAAAGGUGGGGGACAGUGGAUAAG